UACAGAGGGUGCGAGCGUUGUUCGGAAUUAUUGGGCGUAAAGAGCUCGUAGGCGGUUUGUCGCGUCUGCUGUGAAAACUCGGGGCUUAACUCCGGGCCUGCAGUGGGUACGGGCAGAUUAGAGUGCGGUAGGGGAGACUGGAAUUCCUGGUGUAGCGGUGAAAUGCGCAGAUAUCAGGAGGAACACCGGUGGCGAAGGCGGGUCUCUGGGCCGUAACUGACGCUGAGGAGCGAAAGCGUGGGGGAGCGAACAGG
rnacentral:rRNA from 1 species